CUGGCGGCGUGCCUAAUACAUGCAAGUAGAACGCUGAAGAGAGGAGCUUGCUCUUCUUGGAUGAGUUGCGAACGGGUGAGUAACGCGUAGGUAACCUGCCUUGUAGCGGGGGAUAACUAUUGGAAACGAUAGCUAAUACCGCAUAACAAUGGAUGACACAUGUCAUUUAUUUGAAAGGGGCAAUUGCUCCACUACAAGAUGGACCUGCGUUGUAUUAGCUAGUAGGUGAGGUAAUGGCUCACCUAGGCGACGAUACAUAGCCGACCUGAGAGGGUGAUCGGCCACACUGGGACUGAGACACGGCCCAGACUCCUACGGGAGGCAGCAGUAGGGAAUCUUCGGCAAUGGGGGCAACCCUGACCGAGCAACGCCGCGUGAGUGAAGAAGGUUUUCGGAUCGUAAAGCUCUGUUGUAAGUCAAGAACGGGUGUGAGAGUGGAAAGUUCACACUGUGACGGUAGCUUACCAGAAAGGGACGGCUAACUACGUGCCAGCAGCCGCGGUAAUACGUAGGUCCCGAGCGUUGUCCGGAUUUAUUGGGCGUAAAGCGAGCGCAGGCGGUUUGAUAAGUCUGAAGUUAAAGGCUGUGGCUCAACCAUAGUUCGCUUUGGAAACUGUCAAACUUGAGUGCAGAAGGGGAGAGUGGAAUUCCAUGUGUAGCGGUGAAAUGCGUAGAUAUAUGGAGGAACACCGGUGGCGAAAGCGGCUCUCUGGUCUGUAACUGACGCUGAGGCUCGAAAGCGUGGGGAGCGAACAGGAUUAGAUACCCUGGUAGUCCACGCCGUAAACGAUGAGUGCUAGGUGUUGGAUCCUUUCCGGGAUUCAGUGCCGCAGCUAACGCAUUAAGCACUCCGCCUGGGGAGUACGACCGCAAGGUUGAAACUCAAAGGAAUUGACGGGGGCCCGCACAAGCGGUGGAGCAUGUGGUUUAAUUCGAAGCAACGCGAAGAACCUUACCAGGUCUUGACAUCCCGAUGCUAUUUCUAGAGAUAGAAAGUUACUUCGGUACAUCGGUGACAGGUGGUGCAUGGUUGUCGUCAGCUCGUGUCGUGAGAUGUUGGGUUAAGUCCCGCAACGAGCGCAACCCCUAUUGUUAGUUGCCAUCAUUCAGUUGGGCACUCUAGCGAGACUGCCGGUAAUAAACCGGAGGAAGGUGGGGAUGACGUCAAAUCAUCAUGCCCCUUAUGACCUGGGCUACACACGUGCUACAAUGGUUGGUACAACGAGUUGCGAGUCGGUGACGGCGAGCUAAUCUCUUAAAGCCAAUCUCAGUUCGGAUUGUAGGCUGCAACUCGCCUACAUGAAGUCGGAAUCGCUAGUAAUCGCGGAUCAGCACGCCGCGGUGAAUACGUUCCCGGGCCUUGUACACACCGCCCGUCACACCACGAGAGUUUGUAACACCCGAAGUCGGUGAGGUAACCUUUUGGAGCCAGCCGCCUAAGGUGGGACAGAUGAUUGGGGGA
rnacentral:rRNA from 1 species